rnacentral:rRNA from 1 species
UUCCGGUUGAUCCCGCCGGACCUGACUGCUAUCGGAUUGAUACUAAGCCAUGCGAGUCAUUGUAGCAAUACAAGGCAGACGGCUCAGUAACGCGUAGUCAAUCUACCCUAUGGACGGGAAUAACCUCGGGAAACUGAGAAUAAUGCCCGAUAGAACAUUAUGCCUGGAAUGGUUUAUGUUUCAAAUGAUUUAUCGCCAUAGGAUGGGACUGCGGCCUAUCAGUUUGUUGGUGAGGUAAUGGCCCACCAAGACUAUUACAGGUACGGGCUCUGAGAGGAGUAGCCCGGAGAUGGGUACUGAGACACGGACCCAGGCCCUAUGGGGCGCAGCAGGCGAGAAAACUUUGCAAUGUGCGAAAGCACGACAAGGUUAAUCCGAGUGGUUUCUGCUAAAGAAACCUUUUGUCAGUCCUAGAAACACUAACGAAUAAGGGGUGGGCAAGUUCUGGUGUCAGCCGCCGCGGUAAAACCAGCACCUCAAGUGGUCAGGAUGAUUAUUGGGCCUAAAGCAUCCGUAGCUCGUUUUGUAAGUUUUCGGUUAAAUCCAUGCGCUUAACGUAUGGGCUGCCGGGAAUACUGCAUAACUAGGAAGUGGGAGAGGUAGACGGUACUCGGGAGGAAGGGGUAAAAUCCUUUGAUCUCUUGAUGACCACCUGUGGCGAAGGCGGUCUACCAGAACACGUUCGACGGUGAGGGAUGAAAGCUGGGGGAGCAAACCGGAUUAGAUACCCGGGUAGUCCCAGCUGUAAACUAUGCAAACUCAGUGAUGCAUUGGCUUAUGGCCAAUGCAGUGCUGCAGGGAAGCCGUUAAGUUUGCCGCCUGGGAAGUACGUACGCAAGUAUGAAACUUAAAGGAAUUGGCGGGGGAG